rnacentral:lncRNA from 1 species
UUUCUAUAUGUGGAUGGGCUUGUCAUAAGUGGCCAUGGCUGCUUCUUUCAGAGCUUCGCUCAUUGUUGGAUGUGCGUGGCAUGUACGAGCAAUGUCCUCACUUGAUGCUCCAUAAUGCAAGGCCAGGACUGCUUCGUGAAUAAGCUCACCUGCGUUGGGUGCCAUGAUAUGAACGCCCAAGAUUUUAUCAGUCUCUUUCUCAGCAAGUACCUUUACAAUUCCUUCAGCAUCGUCAAUUGCCUUGGCCCUACUGUUUGCAAGGAAAGGAAAUUUGCCAACGCGAUAAUCAAGUCCAAGGGCCUUAACCUGUUCUUCAGUUUUCCCAACGGAAGCAACCUCUGGGUGAGUGUAACAAACACCAGGAACCAAAUCGUAGUCCACAUGACCCUCUUUGCCUGCAAUGAAUUCC